rnacentral:rRNA from 1 species
AUUGAACGCUGGCGGCAGGCCUAACACAUGCAAGUCGAGCGGAGCGGCGGACGGGUGAGUAAUGCCUAGGAAUCUGCCUGGUAGUGGGGGAUAACGUCCGGAAACGGGCGCUAAUACCGCAUACUAUCAGAUGAGCCUAGGUCGGAUUAGCUAGUUGGUGGGGUAAAGGCCUACCAAGGCGACGAUCCGUAACUGGUCUGAGAGGAUGAUCAGUCACACUGGAACUGAUACACGGUCCAGACUCCUACGAGAGGCAGCAGUGGGGAAUAUUGGAAAAGGGGCGGAAGCCUGUUCCAACCAUGGCGCGUCUGUGAAAGAGGUCUUCGGAUUGUAAAACACUUUAAGUUGGGAGGCGUUACCAACAGAAUAAGCACCGGCUAACUUCGUACCAGCAGCCGCGGUAAUAC